AAAGAGGGCUAAUGACGGUACCGUAAGAAUAAGCACCGGCUAACUACGUGCCAGCAGCCGCGGUAAUACGUAGGGUGCAAGCGUUAAUCGGAAUUACUGGGCGUAAAGCGUGCGCAGGCGGUUAUGUAAGACAGUUGUGAAAUCCCCGGGCUCAACCUGGGAACUGCAUCUGUGACUGCAUAGCUAGAGUACGGUAGAGGGGGAUGGAAUUCCGCGUGUAGCAGUGGAAUGCGUAGAUAUGCGGAGGAACACCGAUGGCGAAGGCAAUCCCCUGGACCUGUACUGACGCUCAUGCACGAAAGCGUGGGGGAGCAAACAGG
rnacentral:rRNA from 1 species